GCUGCUCGUGCACAUGCAAACAAUCUACGUGUCACACGCGUUCCUUGUGAAACGUGAGCCGCACUGCGCGCGUAACCCCACUCUCCGCGUACGUGGAAUGCGAUUCCUGUUUGGGCGAUGAGGAGACGCGAAUUCCACGUCCACGUCGCCGACGACGCGCGCUACGUUCCGCCUCUCUCAGGAACAAUUUCGCGUGAUAGCCAUUUGAAAAUCGCAUCCUUGAUGGAGAUGGAUUACUAUUUGGACGUUUAAGGACGAUUAUCUCCUCUGUAGACGCUGAAUCAUCGUGCCGCAUAAAAUCCGCUGGAUAUAUGUAUUAGGAAAAUGACCUUGUUACCUUUCCCUUUGCGAUUCACAACGAAACAUCGUGUAUAUCGAUCUACCACUAUUUGCAAUUUAAAUAACUGUAGUUUUACUAAUAUAUGGAAUAGAUUGAAUUAAUUCAACAUGAAUGAAAUAUUUUAAACUAUAAUAAGUCGAUCGAACGAUAAGAUAGGUAUCAUUUUGCUUUAUACAGUUUUCAUAAGUAAUAAAAGUCAUAUAAUCAUAUUUUUUUA